rnacentral:rRNA from 1 species
CCUACGGGGGGCAGCAGUGGGGGAUAUUGCUCAAUGGGGGGAACCCUGAAGCAGCGACGCCGCGUGGAGGAAGGAGGGUUUAGGCUCGUAAAGCCCUAUUGGCAGGGAAGAAGAUGACGGUACCUGACCAAGAAGCCCCGGCUAACUCCGUGCCCGCAGCCGCGGUAAUACGUAGGGGGCAAGCGUUAUCCGGAUUUAUUGGGCUUAAAGGGUGCGUAGGCUGGGUGUUAAGUCAGCGGUGAAAUGCCCGCGCUCAACGGGGUGAAGUGCCAUUGAUACUGCCUUGCUGGAUUGCGGAUGGGGUAGGAGGAAUGUGUGGUGUAGCGGUGAAAUGCAUAGAUAUCACACAGAACACCGAUUGCGAAGGCAGCUUACGAAUCCACGAUUGACGCUGAUGCACGAAAGCGUGGGUAUCAAACAGGAUUAGAUACCCUUGUAGUC